CAACAGAGAUAUAUUUUCUCACAGUUCUAGAGACUGAUGUCCAAGGUCAAGGUGCUGGCCGACGCAGUUUCCCCAGAGGCCUGUCUUGCUGUCUUUCCAAUAGCCACUCUCUUGCUGCAUCCUUGCCUUCUU
rnacentral:miRNA from 14 species